UGGUGUGUUUCCAAUACUGUCCAUGUUGAC
rnacentral:piRNA from 1 species